GAUGAACGCUGGCGGCGUGCCUAAUACAUGCAAGUCGAGCGAACAGACGAGGAGCUUGCUCCUCUGACGUUAGCGGCGGACGGGUGAGUAACACGUGGAUAACCUACCUAUAAGACUGGGAUAACUUCGGGAAACCGGAGCUAAUACCGGAUAAUAUAUUGAACCGCAUGGUUCAAUAGUGAAAGACGGUUUUGCUGUCACUUAUAGAUGGAUCCGCGCCGCAUUAGCUAGUUGGUAAGGUAACGGCUUACCAAGGCAACGAUGCGUAGCCGACCUGAGAGGGUGAUCGGCCACACUGGAACUGAGACGCGGUCCAGACUCCUACGGGAGGCAGCAGUAGGGAAUCUUCCGCACUGGGGGAAAGCCUGACGGAGCAACGCCGGGUGAGUGAUGAAGGUCUGCGGAUCGGAAAACUCUGUUAGUAGGGAAGAACAAAUGUGUAAGUAACUAUGCACGUCUUGACGGUACCUAAUCAGAAAGCCACGGCUAACUACGUG
rnacentral:rRNA from 1 species